UCUUUGAUAGGAACAGAGACCUGAGAAGUAGGAAUGAUUCUAUUCUGAGCCGGAAGAGCAAGAGAGACUGAGGGAUCGACACCAGUCUAGCGAAAAUGGUGAAAUAAUGCUAGCGAAAAUUUCAGAACAAAAUCUCGGAGACGUUGAGUUUUCGUAUGGCUCGAGAUUAUUAAACAUUGACAUCAAAUAUAAAAGAAUCAAUAUAGUAUUAAAAGAAAAAAAAAAUGUAGUAUUAAAAGAUAGGUUAUUAUCUCAUCUACCCAAGUUCAUCUCAUGAGCAUUAUGAGCAAAGCCGACCCAAAGGCCAAGCCCAUGAACCAUUUGCUUGCCGCUUUACAUAAUAUAUAUAAAUUUCGGCC